rnacentral:tRNA from 1 species
GGCGAGGUAGCUCAGCUGGUUAGAGCGCAUGAUUCAUAAUCAUGAGGUCGCGAGUUCAAGUCUCGCUUUCGCUACAA